rnacentral:rRNA from 1 species
GACGAACGCUGGCGGCGUGCUUAACACAUGCAAGUCGAACGAAGUGGCGAACGGGUGAGUAACGCGUAAUCAACCUGCCCUUCAGAGGGGGACAACAGUUGGAAACGACUGCUAAUAUCGCAUACCGAAGGAGGGGGUUGCGUGUGAGUAGCUAGUUGGAGGGGUAACGGCACACCAAGGCGAUGAUGAGUAGCCGGUCUGAGAGGAUGAGCAACCACAUUGAGACUGGAACACGGCCCAGACUCCUACGGGAAGCAGCGGUAGGGAAUCUUCCGCGAUGGACGUAAGUCUGACGGAGCAACGCCGCGUGAGUGAUGAGGACCUUCGGGUUAUAAGGCUCUGUUAAUCGGGACGCAGUACCAGAAUAGAAAGCCACGGCUAACUACGUGCCAGCAGCCGCGGUAAUUC